rnacentral:rRNA from 1 species
GAUGAACGCUGGCGGCGUGCCUAAUACAUGCAAGUCGAGCGAACGGACGAGAUGCUUGCUUCUCUGAUUUUAGCGGCGGACGGGUGAGUAACACGUGGAUAACCUACCUAUAAGACUGGGAUAACUUCGGGAAACCGUAGCUAAUACCGGAUAAUAUUUUGAACCGCAUGGUUCAAAAGUGAAAGACGGUCUUGCUUUCACUUAUAGAUGGAUCCGCGCUGCAUUAGCUAGUUGGUAAGGUAACGGCUUACCAAGGCAACGAUGCAUAGCCGACCUGAGAGGGUGAUCGGCCACACUGGAACUGAGACACGGUCCAGACUCCUACGGGAGGCAGCAGUAGGGAAUCUUCCGCAAUGGGCGAAAGCCUGACGGAGCAACGCCGCGUGAGUGAUGAAGGUCUUCGGAUCGUAAAACUCUGUUAUUAGGGAAGAACAUAUGUGUAAGUAACUGUUAACAUCUUGACGGUAUCUAAUCAGAAAGCCACGGCUAACUACGUG